rnacentral:rRNA from 1 species
GGGGGGGGGGGGGGGCGGGCGGAGGGGGGGCGGGGGGAGGGGGACGGUCGGGGCGGGGGGCUCCCGGGGGCGUGACGCGUGGGAACCUGCCCUGAGGGUCGUGAUCACUCCCCGAAAGAGGUGCUACUACCGUGUACUGUCUGCGGCCCAACGCAUUAUCGCCUUUGGAUUGUCCCUCUUUUGAUUAGCUAUUUGGUAGGGUACCAGCCUACCACGGCGACGAUCCAUAGCUGGUCUGAGAGGAUGAUCCGCCACACUGGGCCUGAGACACGGCCCAGACUCCUACGGGAGGCAGCAGUGGGGAAUAUUGGACAAUGGGCGAAAGCCUGAUCCAGCAAUGCCGCGUGAGUGAUGAAGGCCUUAGGGUUGUAAAGCUCUUUUACCCGGGAUGAUAAUGACAGUACCGGGAGAAUAAGCUCCGGCUAACUCCGUG